rnacentral:rRNA from 1 species
AGGGUUUGAUCCUGGCUCAGAACGAACGUUAGCGGUGUGGAUUAGGCAUGCAAGUCGUGCGCGAAAGCCUUCGGGCGAGUAAAGCGGCGAAAGGGUGAGUAACACGUAAUCAACCUACCCCGAAGAUCGGAAUAGCCAUCGGAAACGAUAGCUAAUGCCGGAUGGCCCAUUGGCAUCUUGGAAAUGGUAAACGGCGGCCCUGCCGCUGCUUUGGGAGGAGGUUGCGGACUAUUAGCUUGUUGGUGGGGUAACGGCCUACCAAGGCGAUGAUGGUUAGCGGGUCUGAGAGGAUGGUCCGUCACACUGGGACUGAGACACUGCCCAGACUCCUACGGGAGGCUGCAGUCGAGAAUCUUCCGCAAUGGGCGAAAGCCUGACGGAGCGACACCGCGUGCAGGAUGGUUGUAAACUGCUGUCACGUUUCUAGGAACCGUACAUUGUUAAUAGCAAUGUGCCUGACCAGGGCGAAAGGAAGCACCGGCUAACUCCGUGCCAGCAGCCGCGGUAAUACGGAGGGUGCAAACGUUGUUCGGAAUCACUGGGCAUAAAGAGCAUGUAGGCGGUCUAAUUAGUUGGGUGUGAAAUCCCUCGGCUCAACCGGGGAACUGCAUCCAAUACUGUUAGGCUUGAGGAUGGUUGGGGUGAGUGGAACUCCUGGUGGAGCGGUGAAAUGCGUAGAUAUCAGGAGGAACACCGGUGGCGAAGGCGACUCACUGGACCAUUACUGACGCUGAGAUGCGAAAGCUAGGGGAGCGAACGGGAUUAGAUACCCCGGUAGUCCUAGCCGUAAACGAUGGGUACUAGGCAGGGGGAUUACCUAUGGCCCUCUCUGUCGUAGCAAACGCACUAAGUUGACCGCCUGGGGAGUACGGCCGCAAGGUUAAAACUCAAAUGAAUUGACGGGGGCCCGCACAAGCGGUGGAGCAUGUGGUUUAAUUCGAAGCAACGCGAAGAACCUUACCUGGCCUUGACAUGUACGGAUUAACUCUGUGAAAGCAGAGCGACAGCCCUUCGGGGUCGGAACGUACACAGGUGUUGCAUGGCUGUCGUCAGCUCGUGUCGUGAGAUGUUGGGUUAAGUCCCGUAACGAGCGAAACCCUUAUUGUUAGUUGCCAGCGGGUAAUGCCGGGGACUCUAGCGAGACUGCCGUUGUUAAAACGGAGGAAGGUGGGGACGACGUCAAGUCAUCAUGGCCCUUAUGGCCAGGGCGACACACGUGCUACAAUGGCUUGUACAAAGGGAACCGAGACCGCGAGGUGGAGGCAAUCCCACAAAGCAAGCCCCAGUUCGGAUUGCAGGCUGAAAUUCGCCUGCAUGAAGUUGGAAUCGCUAGUAAUCGCGUAUCAGCCAUGACGCGGUGAAUAUGUUCCUGAUCCUUGUACACACCGCCCGUCAAGCCACGAAAGCGGGGAGCGCUCGAAGUCGCUUUGUCUAACCUUAGGGAGGACGGCGCCGAAAGUGAAUUCCGUGAUUGGGACUAAGUCGUAACAAGGUAACCGUA